AUGCAAGUCGAGCGCUCUCUUCGGAGGGAGCGGCGGACGGGUUAGUAACGCGUGGGAAUAUGCCCUUCACUACGGAAUAGCCUCGGGAAACUGAGAGUAAUACCGUAUACGCCCUUCGGGGGAAAGAUUUAUCGGUGAAGGAUUAGCCCGCGUUGGAUUAGGUAGUUGGUGGGUAAUGGCCUACCAAGCCGACGAUCCAUAGCUGGUUUGAGAGGAUGAUCAGCAACACUGGGACUGAGACACGGCCCAGACUCCUACGGGAGGCAGCAGUGGGGAAUCUUAGACAAUGGGGGAAACCCUGAUCCAGCCAUGCCGCGUGAGUGGCGAAGGCCCUAGGGUCGUAAAGCUCUUUCGCCAGGGAAGAUAAUGACGGUACCUGGUAAAGAAACCCCGGCUAACUCCGUGCCAGCAGCCGCGGUAAUACGGAGGGGGUUAGCGUUGUUCGGAAUUACUGGGCGUAAAGCGCGCGUAGGCGGACUAGUUAGUCAGAGGUGAAAUCCCAGGGCUCAACCCUGGAACUGCCUUUGAUACUGCUAGUCUUGAGUUCGAGAGAGGUGAGUGGAAUUCCGAGUGUAAAGGUGAAAUUCGUA
rnacentral:rRNA from 1 species